GGGAGUGUAGCUCAGAGGUAGAGCAUUCGACGACAGUUGAGAUAUCGAUGGUUCAAAUCCGCACGCUCCCU